rnacentral:rRNA from 1 species
UACGGUGGGAGCAAGCGUUGUUCGGAUUUACUGGGCGUAAAGGGCGCGUAGGCGGCCAGCACAAGUCAGUUGUGAAAUCUCCGGGCUUAACUCGGAAAGGUCAACUGAUACUGUGCGGCUAGAGUGCAGAAGGGGCAACUGGAAUUCUCGGUGUAGCGGUGAAAUGCGUAGAUAUCGAGAGGAACACCUGCGGCGAAGGCGGGUUGCUGGGCUGACACUGACGCUGAUGCGCGAAAGCUAGGGUAGCAAACGGG